rnacentral:rRNA from 1 species
AAGUGAAAUCUGGUGGCUCAACCAUUCAGACUAUUAUCUAAACUGCUCCGCUCGAGAGCGUAGGGGUAGCUGGAAUUUCUAGUGUAGGAGUGAAAUCCGUAGAUAUUAGAAAGAACACCGAAGCGUAGGCAGGCUACUGGGACGUUUCUGACACUAAGGCACGAAAGCGUGGGGAGCAAACGGAUUAGAUACCCCGGUAGUCCACGCUGUAAACGAUGGAUACUAGCAGUUUCGGGUAUCGCCCCUGGAGUUGCGAAGCUAACGCGUUAAGUAUCCCACCUGUGUAGUACGAUCGCAAGAUAAAACAUAAAGGAAUCGACGGGGACCCGCACAAGCGGUGGAGCGUGAUCUUUAAUUCGAUGUAAACGAUAAACCUUACCAAGGCUUGACAUCUCGGGAAGGCUUCCGAAAGGAAACUGUGCCUCGGGAACCCGAAGACAGGUGAUGCAUGGCCGUCGUCAGCUCGUGUCGUGAGAUGUUUGUUAAGUCCAUCAACGAGCGCAACCCUUGCAACCAGUUGUAUUUUUCUGGUAGGACUGCCCGGUAACGGGGAGGAAGGAGGGGAUGAUGUCAGGUCAGUAUUUCCCUUACGCCUUGGGCUGAAUCGCGCUACAAUGGCCGGUACAAUGCGAAGCGAAGCAGUGAUGUGAAGCAAAUCGCACAAAGCCGGUCCCAGUUCGGAUAGAAGGCUGAAACUCGCCUUCUUGAAGUCGGAAUCGCUGUAAUCGCAGAUCAGCAUGUUGCGGUGAAUACGUUCCCGGGUCUUGUACACACCGCCCGU